AUGGAUAUCAAGCAAAAGAGGCUAAUAUUUGCGGUUGUGUCAUAUGUGCUUGUCUCGAUGAUGACAUUGGUAGUUCAGUCUAGAAAAAGAAAAAGGCGUGUUGUCAUAUGUUAUGGGCCAAUAGAUGAGAGGGAUAGGAUGAGAAGUGAGUACCUAGAUAAUAAAAUAUGGAGGGAUGGAACGACAUGUGUGAACAUGCUUAGGCUUGGAAGAGGACCUUUCUUUCGAUUUUGUAAACUUUUUCGGGACCGUAAGUUGCUUGAAGAUACGAUUCAUUUGUCCAUUGAAAAACAAGUUGCUAUGUUUUUGCACAUCGUUGGACACAAUGUUAGGAAUAGGAUAAUAGGUGGCAACUUUGGUAGAUCCGGUGAAGUUGUAAGUCGUUAUUUCAAGAAAGUCCUUCAUGCUGUUGGAGAGCUACGUGGUGACCUUAUUAGGAAGCCCUCGUUGGAGACCCAAUCCAAAAUAGAAGGGAACUACCGGUGGGAUCCAUACUUUAAGGUAUGA
rnacentral:rRNA from 1 species